rnacentral:rRNA from 1 species
AUUGAACGCUGGCGGCAUGCCUUACACAUGCAAGUCGAACGGUAACGGGCCUUCGGGUGCCGACGAGUGGCGAACGGGUGAGUAAUACAUCGGAACGUGCCCGAUCGUGGGGGAUAACGAGGCGAAAGCUUUGCUAAUACCGCAUACGAUCUACGGAUGAAAGCCGGGGACCGCAAGGCCUUGCGCGGACGGAGCGGCCGCUGGCAGAUUAGGUAGUUGGUGGGAUAAAAGCUUACCAAGCCGACGAUCUGUAGCUGGUCGGAGAGGAUGAUCAGCCACACUGGGACUGAGACACGGCCCAGACUCCUACGGGAGGCAGCAGUGGGGAAUCUUGGACAAUGGGCGCAAGCCUGAUCCAGCCAUGCCGCGUGCAGGAUGAAGGCCUUCGGGUUGUAAACUGCUUUUGUACGGAACGAAAAGCCUUCUUUUAAUACAGGAGGGUCAUGACGGUACCGUAAGAAUAAGCACCGGCUAACUACGUG